CCGCCCGUCACACCAUGGGAGUUUGUUGCACCAGAAGCAGGUAGCUUAACCUUCAGGAGGGCGCUUGCCACAGUGUGGCCGAUGACUGGGGUG
rnacentral:rRNA from 1 species